rnacentral:rRNA from 1 species
GAUCAUGGCUCAGGACGAACGCAGGGGCGUGCCUAAUACAUGCAAGUCGAACGCUUCUUUCCUCCCGAGUGCUUGCACUCAAUUGGAAAGAGGAGUGGCGGAUGGGUGAGUAACACGUGGGUAACCUACCCAUCAGAGGGGGAUAACACUUGGAAACAGGUGCUAAUACCGCAUAACAGUUUAUGCCGCAUGGCAUAAGAGUGAAAGGCGCUUUCGGGUGUCGCUGAUGGAUGGACCCGCGGUGCAUGAGCUAGUUGGUGAGGUAACGGCUCACCAAGGCCACGAUGCAUAGCCGACCUGAGAGGGUGAUCGGCCACACUGGGACUGAGACACGGCCCAGACUCCUACGGGAGGCAGCAGUAGGGAAUCUUCGGCAAUGGACGAAAGUCUGACCGAGCAACGCCGCUUGAGUGAAGAAGGUUUUCGGAUCGUAAAACUCUGUUGUUAGAGAAGAACAAGGAAGUUAGUAAGCUGAA